rnacentral:misc_RNA from 1 species
AGAAAAUGGAAUCUCUUACGCUUAUGGCUUUUGUAGGAAUUCUAAGAGAAACCCACAAAAUCUUCUCCAAAAAUGGAAGGCUAAUGGCCUACAUUGCCCUUCUCACCCUCCUCAUCAAGUCUACUCUUUUCCUGUCCAACUUCUUCUCCAUCAAGCCUGUGAUCACUGACUUCCUCUUCGAGCAUAACCUCCUCCGCAUCACUACUCCUGAAAACCCAGAAUUCACCAACAUCCUCACCCAUAUAAGAAAAGACAUCAAAAUCAUUUUUGGGGUCGAAAUCAUUUACAUUAUUCUUGAUUCCGUUGCCUUCUUACUGUCUGGUACUGCCACGAUCCUUGUCGCCGUUAUAACCCACGGCGGCAAGAAAGAUGACUUAUCGUUGAAAGAUGUGCUGUUGAGAACUGCCAGGUCAUGGACAAGGCCACUUAUUACUUGGUUAUAUAUAUUUCUUUUUUGUCUGGUUUAUAUCUUUCUUUUCAUGGCAGUUCUCUCUCUCGUAUUAUUGACCGUACAUAAUAAUCCUGCUACCUUUGCUUUUGCUGCCAAUUUUAUUGGCGUUUCUGCUGUAUUUUUCUACAUAUACCUCUCUGUAACAUGGAUUCUAGCGAUUAUUGUUUCAGUUGCUGAACAGAAAAGAGGACUUGAGGCCCUCGGAAAGGCUGCUGAGAUUGUUAAGGGCAUGAAACUGCAAGGGUUUCUACUGAAUUUUGCGUUCAGUAUUUCAAGUCUGAUUUUGGUACUAGCGAUAAAGAUGAUUCCGGUGGCUCAUUCACUAGCACUUGAAAUAAUCAUAGCAUUGGUUACUAUAAAUUCUGCGAUCCUGGUGAGGAUGUAUUGGUUUUCUGCUUUCACUGUGUUCUACUACCGGUGCAAGAAGACACAUGGAGAACAAGUAGAAUUGGAAGGAGUAAGCUCAGAUGGAUAUAUUGUGAUACCUACUACUGCUCCUCUUGUAGGCGAUAAUAUACCAUGAAUAAUCCAUUGUGUAUAGAUAUGGGUUAUGCUUCUCUAUAAAUUUAGAUGAGUGAUAUCCGAGUGGCCUUUAGAAUUAUGAACUCUUAAGUUCCAACUAAAUAAAUACAUUUCCUUUAGUAUCAACAUCUUGAGAAACCUGUUCACAUAUUAUUGUAUAAUUACUGCACCAUUAUUAAGAGAAAAAUUGGAUAUCACUUUAAUCUGUGUUUGAUUAUAUGUAAAUUUUACCAUAUAUGAGAUGUUU